rnacentral:rRNA from 1 species
AUUGAACGCUGGCGGCAGGCCUAACACAUGCAAGUCGAACGAGUGGCGGACGUGUUAUUAAUGUCUGGGAAACUGCCUGAUGGAUGGGUAUAACUACUGGAACCUGUAGCUAAUACCGCCUACCAUCGGAUGUGCCCAUAUGGCAUUAGCUAGUAGGUGGGGUAAAGGCUCACCUAGGCGACGAUCCCUAGCUGGUCUGAGAGGAUGACCAGCCACACUGGAACUGAGACACGGUCCAGACUCCUACGGGAGGCAGCAGUGGGGAAUAUUGCACAAUGGGCGCAAGCCUGAUGCAGCCAUGCCGCGUGUGUGAAGAAGGCCUUCGGGUUGUAAAGUACUUUCAGCGGGGAGGCGUUACCCGCAGAAGAAGCACCGGCUAACUCCGUGCCAGCAGCCGCGGUAAUAC